CACGGGUUUAGACCCGUGGCGAAAAGCUCAGUAACACGUGGCCAAGCUACCCUGUGGACCGGAAUAACCUCGGGAAACUGAGGACAAUUCCGGAUAACGCUCCCCUAUUGGAAUAUGGGGAGCCGGAAACGUUCAGGCGCCACAGGAUGCGGCUGCGGCCGAUUAGGUAGACGGUGGGGUAACGGCCCACCGUGCCCAUAAUCGGUACGGGUUGUGAGAGCAAGAGCCCGGAGACGGAAUCUGAGACAAGAUUCCGGGCCCUACGGGGCGCAGCAGGCGCGAAACCUUUACACUGCACGACAGUGCGAUAGGGGGACUCCGAGUGCGAGGGCAUAGAGCCCUCGCUUUUCUGUACCGUAAGGUGGUACAGGAAGAAGGGCUGGGCAAGACCGGUGCCAGCCGCCGCGGUAAUACCGGCAGCCCAAGUGAUGGCCGAUAUUAUUGGGCCUAAAGCGUCCGUAGCUGGCCGGACAAGUCCGUUGGGAAAUCCGCAUGCUUAACGUGCGGGCGUCCAGCGGAAACUGUCCGGCUUGGGACCGGAAGACC
rnacentral:rRNA from 1 species